rnacentral:rRNA from 1 species
CGUUAAGGGCGGCGAGCGGCGGACGGGUGAGUAAUGCCUGGGAAUAUGCCCUGAUGUGGGGGAUAACUAUUGGAAACGAUAGCUAAUACCGCAUAAUCUCUUCGGAGCAAAGAGGGGGACCUUCGGGCCUCUCGCGUCAGGAUUAGCCCAGGUGGGAUUAGCUUGUUGGUGAGGUAAUGGCUCACCAAGGCAACGAUCCCUAGCUGGUCUGAGAGGAUGAUCAGCCACACUGGAACUGAGACACGGUCCAGACUCCUACGGGAGGCAGCAGUGGGGAAUAUUGCACAAUGGGGGAAACCCUGAUGCAGCCAUGCCGCGUGUGUGAAGAAGGCCUUCGGGUUGUAAAGCACUUUCAGUAGGGAGGAAGGUAGUGUAGUUAACACCUGCACUAUUUGACGUUACCUACAGAAGAAGCACCGGCUAACUCCGUGCCAGC